UCAAGCUACUAAGGGCAUACGGUGGAUGCCUAGGCGCCAGGAGCCGAAGAAGGACGCGGUAAGCUGCGAAAAGCCACGGGGAACUGCAAGCGAGUAUUGAUCCGUGGAUAUCCGAAUGGGGAAACCCGGCCAUCGUAAUGGAUGGUCAUCCGCAAGGAAGGGAACCCGGGGAACUGAAACAUCUAAGUACCCGGAGGAAAAGAAAUCAAACGAGAUGCCCACAGUAGCGGCGAGCGAAGAGGGCAGAGCCCAAACCUGUAAGCUACGGCUUAUGGGGGUUGAGGACUGACGUAAUUAAGGCCAGGCUUAGCUGAACUACCUGGGAAGGUAGGCGAUAGAAGGUAAGAGCCCUGUAAGCGAAAGGCAGAGCCUUAAGGUCAGUAUCCAGAGUACCACGGAGCACGAGGAAUUCUGUGGGAAGCAGGGGGGACCACCCUCCAAGGCUAAAGACUAACUGGCGACCGAUAGCGCAUAGUACCGUGAGGGAAAGGUGAAAAGAACCCCGGGAGGGGAGUGAAAUAGUACCUGAAACCGUAUGUCUACAAGCAGUCGGAGCGAAAGCGACGGCGUGCCUAUUGAAGAAUGAACCAACGAGUUAUCUGCACUAGCGAGGUUAAGUGGAAGACACGGAGCCGUAGCGAAAGCGAGUCUGAAAAGGGCGGCGAGUUAGUGUAGGUAGACCCGAAACCGCAGUGAUCUACCCAUGUCCAGGUUGAAGCGCAGGUAAAAAUGCGUGGAGGACCGAACCGGUGAGCGUUGAAAAGCUUUCGGAUGAGAUGUGGGUAGGGGUGAAAUUCCAAUCGAACGCGGAGAUAGCUGGUUCUCCCCGAAAUAGCUUUAGGGCUAGCCUCAGGUAGUAAGUAUAGGCGGUAGAGCACUGAUCGGGCUAGGGGCCAUAAAGGUUACCGAACCCUGUCAAACUCCGAAUGGAUAUACUGCAGAGCCUGGGAGUCAGACUACGAGUGAUAAGAUCCGUGGUCAAAAGGGAAACAGCCCAGACCACCGGCUAAGGUCCCAAAUGCCGUACUAAGUGGAAAAGGAUGUGGGGAUUCAUAAACAACCAGGAUGUUGGCUCAGAAGCAGCCAACAUUUAAAGAGUGCGUAAUAGCUCACUGGUCGAGAGUCCCUGCGCCGAAAAUUUCCGGGGCUAAAGUACGGAACCGAAGCCGUGGCUGUGCAUGUAAGUGCACGGGGUAGGGGAGCGUUGCCACAGGGGUGAAGCUGGUCUGGAAGGACUGGUGGACUUGUGGGAAGUGAGAAUGUUGGUAUGAGUAGCGAAAAGAAAGGUGAGAAUCCUUUCCACCGAAAGCAUAAGGAUUCCUGAGCAACGAUCGUCGUCUCAGGGUAAGUCGGGACCUAAUCCGAGGCAAAGAGCGUAGGAGAUGGACAACAGGUUGAUAUUCCUGUACCGGCAGCAAUUGUUUGAGCGAAGGAGUGACACAGAAGGGCAGGCAGGCGCGAGACUGGAUUGUCGCGUGCAAGCGUGUAGGGUAGUGUACAGGCAAAUCCGUACACUGAGAGCCUGAGGCGUUACGCGGAGCGAGCAGAGAUGCGAGCGAAGCUGCUGAUCCCACACUGUCGAGAAAAGCUUCUAGUGAGAGAGCUGCCGCCCGUACCGUAAACCGACACAGGUAUGCGGGGAGAGAAUCCUAAGGUGCGCGGGAGAACCCUCGUUAAGGAACUCGGCAAAAUGUACCCGUAACUUCGGGAUAAGGGUAGCCGUCUUGGUGAAGGAACUAGCUUCUGGAGCUGAAGGCGGUCGCAGAGAAGAGGCCCAAGCGACUGUUUACCACAAACACAGGUGCCUGCUAAAGCGAAAGCUGACGUAUAGGUGCUGACACCUGCCCAGUGCUGGAAGGUUAAGGAAGGAUGUCCGGGCAACCAAAGCAUUCGACCGAAGCCCCAGUGAACGGCGGCCGUAACUAUAACGGUCCUAAGGGAGCGAAAUUCCUUGUCGGGUAAGUUCCGACCCGCACGAAAGGUGUAACGAUUUGGGCACUGUCUCAACGAGGGACCCGGUGAAAUUGAAAUACCUGUGAAGAUGCAGGUUACCCGCGACUGGACAGAAAGACCCCAUGGAGCUUUACUGUAACCUGACAUUGGGUUUUGUUGUAUUACGUACAGGAUAGGUGGGAGGCUUGGAAGGCUGGACGCUAGUCUGGCUGGAGCCGGCGUUGGGAUACCACCCUUGAUACAACGGAAUUCUAACCGAGAGAGUAACGAAAUCCGGGACAGUGUCAGGCGGGCAGUUUGACUGGGGCGGUCGCCUC
rnacentral:rRNA from 1 species